UAUGUGAUCGUCUCUCGCAUAUCAAUAAGCGGAGGAAAAGAAACUAACAAGGAUUCCCCUAGUAACGGCGAGUGAAGCGGGAAGAGCUCAAAUUUGAAAUCUUAAAGGGUUUCCCUUUACGAAUUGUAGUUUAAAGAAGUGUUUUCUGUUGAGGUUUUGGUAAAAGUUCUUUGGAAUAGGACAUCAUAGAGGGUGAGAAUCCCGUAUUUGACCUUUACUUUCAACUUUGUGAUACACUUUCAAAGAGUCGGAUUGUUUGGGAAUGCAGUCCAAAAUGGGUGGUAAAUUUCAUCUAAAGCUAAAUAUUGGCGAGAGACCGAUAGCGAACAAGUACCGUGAGGGAAAGAUGAAAAGAACUAUUGAAAAGAGAGUUAAACAGUACUGUGAAAUUGUCAAAAGGGAAGCGUUUGACACCAGUGUUGUUUUUCUGAAAAUCAAUUAAAGAACUGUUUAUGCUAAGUUGUUUAGACUUUAUCAGCUAUCUGUUUAGUUUUGAGCUUUUCUUUAAUGCACUUUUCAGUUAACAAGUCAACAUCAAUUUCUUUUGCUGUAAAAAAGCUUGAGGAAGGUGGCUUGAGAUUCGUCUUAAGUGUUUAUAGCCUCUUGCCUAUGCAGUCGGAGAGAUUGAGGUCUGCAGCGUAGAUCCUUCGGGGCUAAAUGCAUUUGUGCUAAGUUAUAGCAUUUUAUAGACAACUUGUUGACUAUGAUUUGUCUUGUAGCUUACUCGCUUAUGUUAUUUUACCUACGCUUAGGAUGUUGAAGUCAUCGUAUCGCGC
rnacentral:rRNA from 1 species